rnacentral:rRNA from 1 species
AAAGGAAUAGACGGGGACCCGCACAAGCAGAGGAGCAUGUGGUUUAAUUCGAAGCUACGCGAAAAACCUUACCAGGUCUUGACAUCCCAUGAAUAGCCGCGAAAUCGGUGAAGUUUCAGCAAUGGAACAUGGAGACAGGUGUUGCAUGGUUGUCGUCAGCUCGUGUCGUGAGAUGUUCGGUUAAGUCCGAUAACGAGCGCAACCCUUGUCGUUAGUUGCCAGCAUUAAGUUGGGCACUCUAGCGAGACUGCCGUGGUAACACGGAGGAAGGUGGGGAUGACGUCAAAUCAUCAUGGCCCUUACGGCCUGGGCUACACACGUGCUACAAUGGUGACUACAAAGUGUUCCGAACCGGUAACGGUGGGGCAAUCACAAAAAAGUCAUCUCAAUUCGGAUUGUGGGCUGCAACUCGCCCACAUGAAGUUGGAUUUGCUAGUAAUCCCGAAUCAGCAUGUCGGGGUGAAUGCGUUCCCGGGUCUUGUACACACCGCCCGU